UACAGAGGUCUCAAGCGUUGUUCGGAUUCAUUGGGCGUAAAGGGUGUGUAGGUGGCGCCGUAAGUCGGGUGUGAAAUCUCGGGGCUUAACUCCGAAACUGCAUUCGAUACUGCGGUGCUUGAGGACUGGAGAGGAGACUGGAAUUCAUGGUGUAGCAGUGAAAUGCGUAGAGAUCAUGAGGAAGACCAGUGGCGAAGGCGGGUCUCUGGGCAUUACCUGACGUGAGGAGCGAA
rnacentral:rRNA from 1 species